GGAGCCUGGGGAGUCCCGGGACCGACGGCGGCGGGGAUGCGGGUCUGCCUGUCCCUGGGAUGCGGGCGGGCGGGCAGGGCGAGGCCUGGAGCCCGCGGGGCGCAGGGGGCUGGACCGCGCGCUGUGAUUUUUCUGUUUAGCAGCGGGGCCUCGCCCAAGGUCGCGCGGGGCCUGUCCUGGAUAUGCUCUGGGAAGCCAGUGGCGCAGGGCAGCCGCCACCCUUCUGGAACCAGUGCCGGAGAGGGCCGGGCAGCUGGGCCUGGGGAGGGGACCGCAUGGAUGGAGCUGGGGGUAGCUGGGCGGCCUCCGGAGCCGGGAGAGUCGGCAGCUGCACUUCCGCCAGAGGUGGGUGUGUCCUUCACAUUUCAGGAAGGGAGACUUGGGGCCUGGAGAAGCGAUGUGAUUUUUCUUUUCUAGUUCAGUGCUGGUUUUGAUGGCUUUUUAUCAUGACCUUGUUAUGUCUUAUUUUAGUUUCGGCCCAUUUAGUGGAUACGACAACAGUGGCCCAGGGAGGUAUGGCAGAGCUGAGGCUUAACCCAGGGCCUGCGCCCUCCACGGCCUGCACUGCCCCACCUCCAGCUCCUUGCCCUGUUCCUCCCUCUGCACCGGAUCAGCCCCCGGACUCUGGGUCACCUCCACACCAGUUGACAGGGCCCCCCAGUCCCCACCGCCAACCACCUGGCCGGCUACUUGUCAGACAGACAUGGGGGCGUGGGCAUGGGUCCCCACCCCUAGCCUUUGCCUCUGUCACUCUACCUGCCUGGAAUGUCUACUUUUUCUUUAUAUUUUAUUUUAUUGUAUUUUUGAGACAGUCUCAUUGUCGCCCAGGCUGGAGCGCAGUGGCGCGAUCUUGGCUCGCUGCAACCUCUGUCUCCGGGGUUCAAGCGAUUCUCGGGCCUUAGCCUCCCGAGUAGCUGAGACUACAGGCGUGCACCACCAUGCCUGGCUAAUUUUUGCAUUUUUGGUGGAGACAGGGUUUCACCAUGUUGGCCAGGCUGGCCUGAACUCCUGACCUUAAGUGAUCCACUCGCCUAGGCCUUCCAAAGUGCUGGGAUUACAGGCGUGAGCCACCUCACCCAGCCUGGAGUGUCUCAUCUUCCACCACUAAAUGAAACGAUGGACCCUGAACAGAAAAAGGAACAGUGGUGGAAGAACUAGCAAAGCCCACAGCCUUGAGUUUGGCCGUAAGUAUCAAGGUUAAUCUCUCAGUUAUGGCAGUUGUCCCAUGACCGUGUAAGAUGCCAGGUUAGGGGACACUGGGAAUAGAGCAUUGGGAAACCUUCCCACUGUCUUUGCAACUUUUCUGUAAGUUUAAAGUUCUCCCAUAAUAAAAAGCUAACUUGAAUCCAAGGCAAGCAAAGCUUCCCUACUCUCAGCCCACCUCCCUCUUCUCCCACACCCUUUUGGACAGAUGAAAUGCAAGGUGAUGGCCCUGUUUCCUGAAGCUCUUUCCAGGGCCUGGCUGGCUCCCUUGGGCAGGUCUGGAGUGGGCUCUGCCUCUUCAGGAACAGUGGUCCCAAGGCUGGUCCCGGUGGGCAAGGCUGGUUUCCUGCAACUCGGCCUGGCUGCCUCUGAGUUUUGGCUCAAGGGACAAGGCCAGGGUCCCACACUUCUGUCUCCUGGCUGGUGCCCAGCUUGGGGCUUGGUUCUCCUGCCCCACUGCGCAGACUGAAGCUCAGAAGGCUCAGCUGGCUGCCCCCCACCCCACCCCUGCGGAGUCACUGGGCAGCUGGCUGUGAGUGGCCAGGUGCUGCUUGUUUGGUCCCAGGACCAGGUCUCUGCAUGUGUUGUCCAAUUCUCACCUGGUCCCCAGACCAGGUCUCUGCAUGUUUUGUCCAAUUCUCACCUGGUCCCCAGACCAGGUCUCUGCAUGUUUUGUCCAAUUCUCACCACUGGAGGAGAGUCCCAGACUGUGGAGUUUUCACAGGGAGGGAAACUGAGGCAGUCUCCUGGGUCAGGGUAAUUAGCCAGAAACAAGGUCACAUUCUGGGAGGUCAGAAGGUUCUGGAGGGCGGUGUGGGCACUCUACACGAGGGUUAGGGGCUUGAAUGCACACAGACACUCAGGCCGAGAGUCCCUCAACCCCACUCCCCUGCCCCGCCCCACCCCCGCUGCUCCAGGCCUUCUGGAGACAGGAUCCCUGUUGCAGUUUACCUGAGGCUCCCCAUCCCCGCUGUGAGCAGGAACCAAGGAGGCCCCUGGAAGAGCCCUGAGCUGGGAGUCGGACACCUGGGUUCUGGGCCCGGCUCAGCCCUGUGCCUGCCACGUGACCUCUCUGUACCCCAGUUCCUGUCAAAAAAGAGGAGAGGGCUCUGCGAUGUGAGAUGUGUGGCCCAUCAGGGGCUCUGAGGCUGCUUGCCCUCCCGUGUGGACAGGAAGUCUGGGGACAGGAGGCCGUCAGGUGGCCCAGCAAACCCCCCAGGCGUCUUGCCUGACACCCAGGGGCUCAGUUUUCGGUGAUGAGUAAGACGUGCUCAGUGCCUCUGUGUGUCGUGUGUGAGACCUGAGACCAGGGUGCCUGCUCCUCCCUCUGUUCCCAAGGGCAUAGCCCCAGGCCCGUUUGUGACCCUCCACUGGGCCCGAGAAGAAGGCUCCUUUCCCCAGGCCUCAUUCCCCUGUGGCCUCCCAGAGCCGCACGGAGUGGGGAGGGUCUGCUCUCCACCUGGCCAUUGUGGACCCCACCCCAGGAGCUCCGGCCGCCCCCCCCCCCUCCAGUCCCACUCCUUCCUCCCCAGAGGCAGCGAGGCCUGAAGUUUGUGUUUCCCCUCAGGGUGGUUCUUAGCUGCGGUCACAGAUUGCAGGGGAGGAGCCAGAAACGGAGAUGAAACCGAGGAGCCCCCACCCUCUUCACAGGGCUAAAGCCAGAAACCACCGUCCCAGGCCACAGCCUGCCUCAUGUGGCCAUGCCUGCUCCCUGGCAGUGCGCGUCCUGCAACCCUUCCCACCCCAGGGCCUCGGCUUCCGCAAUGAAUCCCCAUGUUUCAAAUCCCCGCUGCUCCCAAGGCUACCUGCUGCCUCGGGGUAGAAUCUAAGCCCCUUCCCCUGGUGCUGGAGGCCCACAGAGUGGGCGCUGCCUGUCCCUCCACUCCUUCAGCGCCCUGACCACCGUCUGGCUGUUCCUUUGCCCCCAAAGCUGUCCCACUGGCUGCCUCCUCCUGGCAUGCCCCCAUGCCACCCACGACCUCCCAUCAACUCCUAUUGAUUAUUAGCUUCUUUCACCCACUCUCUGCCCUAGAGCAUUGGUUCUUGGGGCACAGCAUCCUUGUCCUCCACAGUGAAGCUGGUGCCCCUGUACCUGGCAUAGCCCCUGUACCUGGCAUAGCCCCUGUACCUGGCAUAGCACCUGCCCAGCAGCUGCUCGUGCAGGAAGCCCAAGUAGGGGUGGAAUAGAGAGGGAGGAGUUCCCAGCCCUGGAGGAGGGAGCGCAGAGGAAGGCUAGGCCGAUUCGCAGCUGCCUCCUAUCUCAAAAACGUGGAAGGGGCUAUAACUCUAGGGCUGGGAGGGAGGGGAGUCGUUUUCGCUGACUCUCCGCACGGACCCUCUCCUGCCCGCUAGCUGGUCAGCUCCUCCAGCUCUCCCCGCGGCAGCAGGCCGGGGAGCAGAUGUCUUGUCCAGUGUGCGCGGGGCACCGAGGUAGGGAAAGCCUGUUUAACCCGUCCCGCCCCUCCUGCUCUGGCCAGCAGCUCGCCCAAGCAGCUCUGCAGAGCGACUAGGUCAGGGCCUCUCCAGGUGUCUCCACUCGAGGGACGGCUGGCGCCACGCGGAAAAGGGGAAGCGGGUCAGGGCGGGACAAGGGCAAGAGGUUACUGCUCUGGGCGCUGUGUCCUAAGGGCUGCCUCUUGUCUGCGGAGAAUGGAGGGUGCCGGGGGUCAAGCCCGGACUCUGUCAGGGUACCCGAGUCUUAGCCACGCCAUCCUUCCCCAGCGCGCCGCGGGGGCGGGCACAGCAGGGCGGGCGUGGCUGGGAGACCGGCUGUGCCUCGCCGCCCCGCCCGUCCCAGGCCGGGAAGCUGGGACUUGAGCUGGUCUGCAUUCGGGCAAGGUGAGCCCCGGGAUGUUUCUCAGGCAGGGCCCAGGGCUGCACGCCCUAACUUGGUGCGGGGUCGCGGCGGUCCAGCCCGGCUGCACGUGGUCGCGCGCUCCUUGCAGCUCCCAGCCCGCCGGCCCGCGCUCCUGCGCCCCCUCCCCACGCAGUCGACCUCUCCUGACCGCCAGGUGCACGCAGGGCGCGGGCCUGGGCCUCAGCUCCGCGCACUCCCCCCGGGACGCGGCACCGGGGCUUCGGGUGGGCCCAGGACCCGCACUCAGCACGCACUUCCCCCGCCGAGCACUGUCUGGCAGCGGGGACGCACCCCCAGGACCACGAGCUCGGAGGCCUGGGGCCGGGAGAUGGCGCCCGUGGAGUGGGUCCCGCGAGAAGGCCGGGAAUGGCGGGCCGCUGUCGUUCCCACCUGGGCCGCCAGGUGGGUGCCGCUAUCGCCGCGAGGCCGCACCUGUCGCGCUGCCGGAGCCCGCGCCUGCCCAGGAGCGCCAGGAGGGACCCCCGCUCCUCCCUCCGCCACUGGGCGGGGCCGGUCGCUGAGUCACGGCCGCACACCGGACGGUGACAGAGGCAGGGCUGCCUGGGGAGGGGCCGGUGACCUCAGUCAGGGCUGACGCGGAAAAGUGGGAUGGGGUCACCCGUGGCAGUGGAUGAGGGGGUGGCCCGGGCCUCCACUCACUGCCCACGCUAGAUGUCCGGGGUCCCUCCUGCGACCGAGGACAGGAGGCACCCACAGAGGACCCCAACACGAGGACCCUGGCCCUGGGUGCGGGGCGUUUUUCCCGCACUCUGCUCCCCUAGCAGAUGGCCCCUGCUAAGCACCAGCUCCCAGAAAAGGAAAGGAAGGGGCUGAGAGGCUGGAUCGAGGCAACCCAGCAGGAAAAGGUGGCUCCAGGGCUGGAGGGGUGGGACUCAGAGAUCUCACUACAUACACCUGCUGGGGACAGAGGCUUCUCCGGCCUUCCCAGGGCUGGGCCAGGCCGUGGCAGGGGCCGCCCCAGACCUGUGUCCCAAGGGGCCAGGUUGUUUGCGGCUGGGCUGGCUCCGGGAAAGUCAGAGGGGGCACUGCCGGACAGGGGAUGUCCAGUGCCACACCAGGGCGGUCACACUUCCUCCUGGGGCCGUGGGGACACAGGAAGGCCUAGGGGAGGGGUGGGGGGAGAACACACUCAGGAGGUGACCCUGAAGGUGGAGAGGCCCGAGCUGGGGUCACACCAUGCCCAGGGAAGGAUCAUGGUUGGCCCAACCCAUGUGUCCACUUGGUCUGUGGGAGGGAAUCACCCUGGGGAGCCCCCUAUGCCUGGCCCCCACCCACACACACCUUGGGCUCUCUUGAAGGUUAACUGUGCCCAGCACCUUGACAAGCCCCAUUUCCUCCAGUCCUUAGGACAAGGCAUCCUUUGGGGGCGUCACCAAGCUGGGAAGGUGAGCCCCCGAGUCAGUGUUGAGUUUGCGUAUCGGCAAGUGCCUUGAGCUCACACCCCUGGAACUGGCAGUUUGGUGAGAGAUGGAAUUUCAAGUUGAGAACUGGCCUGGGAUUUUGAACGCUUAGUCCCUGUCUCUUGCUGGCACUGCUGCUGAUGAGAAAUGAAUGUCACUGGAUUCCUGAUCCAGAGUCCAGGUGUUGUGUUUCUCUAAGAGCCUUCAGGCUUUUCCUUGCUGAUCUAAAACUGCUUCAUGUCCCUGGUGAUGCUUUUGCAUUCAUUAUCUUGGCUACUUCCUAGGCCCUGUUCUUGCUAAUUUGCUUGUAUUAUUUCUUUUACAAUUUCUUUCUUUUGUUUUCUGUUCUUCUGUUUUGGGAUUUCUGUUAAUUGGGCAUUAUACCUUCUGGAUUUAUUCUCUAAUAUUCUAGUUUUUUUCUUCUGUCUACUUUUUUAAACCUUCUGGGAUAUUUCCUUGACUUCUAACCCUUCAGCGGAGUUUUUCAUUUUAUUUAUUAUAGUUUUUAACCUUUUGGUUUUGAAAUUUUUUUUUCUUUUUUUGAGACAGAGUUUCACUCUUGUUGCCCAGGCUGGAGUGCAAUGGUGCGAUCUUGGCCCACCGCAACCUCUCCCUCCCAGGUUCAAGCGAUUCUCCUGCCUCAGCCUCCCUAGUAGCUGGGAUUACAGGCAUGUGCCACCACGCCUGGCUAAUUUUUGUAUCUUUAGUAGAGACAGGGUUUCUCCAUGUUGGUCAGGCUGGUCUCAAACUCCCGACCUCAGGUGAUCCACCCGCCUUGGCCUCCCAGAGUCCUGGGAUUACAGGCAUAAGCCAAGCCCAGCUUUUUUUUUUUUUUUUUUGAGACAAGGUCUUAUUCUGUCAUCCAGGUUAGAGUGCAUUGGUGCCAUCUCAGUUCACUGUAACCUCGACCUCCCAGGCUCAAGCAAACUUCCCACCUCAGCCCUCUCCAUCCCCCAGCAGCCAGGACUACAGGUGUAUGCCACCAUGCCUGGCUAAUGUUUGUAUUUGUAGUAGAAAUAGGGUUUUGCCAUGUUACCCAAGCUGGUCUUGAACUCCUGGGUUCCAGCAGUCCACCCGACUUGGCCUCCCAAAAUGCUGGGAUUACAAAUGUGAGCCACCACACCCAGCCUUUGUUUUGAAAUUUCAAACUUACCUCGUUUUAAACAUCUUGACACAUUUGCUUAUCAUUCUCCUUCUAUUUCUGAGCCCUUUGGAAGCAGGUUUCAGGCAUGAUGCCCUUACUAUUUUAGGGUGUGUUUCCUAAGAACAAGGAUGUUUUCUUCUAUAACCACAGAACAGUGAUCAAAAUCAGGCAACAUCAGUAUCACACUGUUUAUCCAAUUGACAGGCAAUGAUGGCGUGGAUCAUACAACUUCGGUAAUGACACUUGUCCCAGAAAUGUCCUCCGUAGUGUGUUUUCCUCAUCUAAUCCAAAAUCACGUUAUAACGUUUUGUUGUCAUAAACUUUUUUUUUUGAAACGGAGUCUCACUCUGCACUCUGUUGCCCAGGCUGGAGUAGAGUGGCACGAUCUCGGCUCACUGCAACCUCCGUCUCCUGGGUUCAAGCAAUUCUCCUGCCUCAGUCUCCUGAGUAGCUGGGAUUACAGGCGUGGACCACCACACCCAGCUAUUUGUUGUAUUUUUAGUAGAAAUGCAGUUUCACCAUGUUGGGCAGGCUGGUCUCGAACUCCUGACCUCGUGAUCCGCCUGCCUCGGCCUCCAAAAGUGCUUGAAUUACAGCCCGGCCAAACUAUCAUACUUUUAAUUCCCAAGGCCUCUCUUGUUCUCUGCACCAUUUCAUUAACUAUAGGCAAUGAGACUUUUUUAGAAAGCAGACCAACUUGAAUGCAUGGAGCUGAGUGGCGUGGCGUUGUCCCCAAGGGAGCUGGGUGACACCACGAUGGUGACCAUGUGCAGAGCCCUUCUCACCGUAGAGUGAUAAAUGGUCCGUUUCUGUUUUGUCCCAGAAGUCAGAGGUAGAGUUAAUUCCUUUCCUUUCCCCAGCACGGUUCCUGGCACACCUGGCACUCCCUAAGUGCCUGUGAUGGUUGGUUCUUACGUGACUGAACUUGCGGGUGGACGUGGCAUUACACGUGGGCAGGGCGUAUGUACACCUGUGUGUGUGUGUAGAUGCAGGUUCGCAGGGGCUGGGCAGAGGCCGCCACCUGCAGACCUGUGGGCUCGUUCACGCCAGGUGUCCAUGUCUGUGGUGUGCCCCUGUGUGUAAGUCCAGCUGGGCUGUAGACAGCCAUCUCUUCUCUGAAAGUUGAUCUGUUCGUCACUCUAAGCCCCAAGCAGCCAGGGGCUCAUGGGAUUUUCAUGAACACUCUCCUCCUGUCCCCUGCAUGUGCAAAGGUCCUGGGGCUCAGGGGUUGGAGGCUCCAUCGCCCCAGUGGUUGUGAGGCAUCUGGGCUUGUCCAGACACCUUCGCUUCUGCCCUCGGGGUCCCUUUGGGGACUUUUGUCCUUGCUGGGGUCCAGAGUUUUCUGGCAAGGCCUAGAGCCCUCUUCCUCCCCUCCCCUUCCAGGCACAGCCCCCCACCAGCACCUUAUGAUUUCACAGAAGACAAAAGCCAGCAGACUGUGUGGGCUGUCUGCCCUGAGAGUUCCAAGGCGAGGCUCCGGAGCAGCCAGCCGUGAACCCCAACUGCAGUUCGGGAAGCUGCUUUCGGGGAGGGGCAGGGAGGGGAGGGGGAUUCUCGGAGCAGGCAGGCAGCCACGCUGGAGAGCCCCUCCCCAAGCUCUUCAUUCCAACCCUGCCCUGCCCCCUGCCUUGCCGAUGGAGCCUGUCACCCUAAACCUGGCCUCAGUAAACCAACCCAGGCCAGAGAAAGAGAAGUGCGGCCCCCUCGCCCGUGUAAGUGGAACUGCAGCGGAGCCGAUAGCUCAGCCAUGAAAAAAUCAUGAGGUCGCCAGGCUGCAGGUCUGUGCUCAGGAAUAACACCCGGGGCUGGGCCCCUGGGAGUAGGUGCUGGGCCAGGAGUGAGGACAUCAAGGCCCGGUGUGCCCAGCAGGGUGGCCCUCACCUGGCUGCAGGGCCAAGGGGACAACAGAGCCUAGGCAGGGGCUUGGCACGGGGACAAGGGGGAGGGUGGAGUACCUGGGAAUCACUGGAGACAGGGAUGCCAACAGGAGUGGCAGCGGUCAGGGCCUGGCACUGAGGUGGGGGCUCCUCCGAUGCCUGCAGGGAGGGCUGCAGGCACUGCUGGCCUGUGAAAGGCGUGGUCCUCAGCCGCGGGGUGGCCCCAGGGCUCCAUUUCCCAGUUUUCAGGGCUCCAGUCCAGCAGGGCGAGGAGCCACCUCUCCCCCAGCUGCACACACGCAGGCCUGUGCCAGCUCACACCACCAGCAUCAGCGUUGCAGGGCAUCCAGCCUGGAGCACGUGCCGGUCACCAUGGCAGCAGACAGCGUGCCAGCAGGAGCCCAGGCUGGGCUCAAGCAUCCAGGAUCAGUGGUCUAGGCAUGGGGGGCUUGGGGUCCUUCCCCUUGGAGCACCAGACGGGCCAACUCGGGGAGGGGAAGGGGGACCCUGGAGCACCAGGACAGCCCGUCCACCAGCACCUCAGAAAGGGAACGAUUUCCUAAGGGCUCUCGGGAAACCUGAGGGUGGACACCAGGUGCCGGUGGGGGCGCAUGGCUUCCUGGUCCUGCCCAGCUGGCCCCGCACUGAGAGGGAUGGAGGCCGAGGCUCAGGCCUCGGGAGGCUGCCAGGGGAUUCUGAUGGCUGAGGCAUUCCUUGCCCUCUGGGCUCAGGUGAGGCCAGGAAGUCUGUCACAGCUGGCUGCUCCCUGGACCAGGGGGCUGGGGGUACUGCUACCCCAAACAGCCUCUCACUGCCCACCGGGACAAGGCACCCCCUCCCAGGUGCAGACCUCAGCUUGGGCCUCAGGCACACACUGGGCAGGGGCUUCCACCAGCCUCAGAGGUGGGCGAGGGUGGGGCGUGGAGCCCUCAGUGUGGCAGCGCCUUUGAAUGUCGCCACAGUGCAGCCUGCACAGGUCAGGGUGGCAGGCACGUGUGUAUCCCAUGUGAGUGGUUGGUUGGCACCUCCGGAGGUGUGGCCACAGGGCUUGGUGAGGGUCAGUGGGAGGGGUGCUUCCUGUUGCCUGAGAACACUGCAGGGGGCUAGAGUGCCCCAGCCCACCAUAUGCUCUUGUGAGUUGUGUAUGUCUGGAGUAUGAGUGGGACCCUGGAAAUAGCCUCCCUUGGGCAGUGUACAACCUGGGCUCCCUGCUGGGCAGCCCUGAGUAGGCUCUCAGGCUGGGAUCCAGGAUGACAGUCCCAGGGUCCAGAGUUGGCCCAGCAGGCGACUCUUCUGGCAACCUUUGCCCACCCUCAUCCAUGAGCACCUUCACACACACACACACACACACACACACCACACUCACACACAUGCACAACGCUGCACCCAUGGGCAGAGGCUCAGCCCAUCAUACAAGAACCCGGCCCUGUGCUGGGGUCCCAGCUGCUCAGGAGGCCAAGGUGGGAGGAUCGCCGGAGCCCAGGAGUUCGGGGCUGCCACUGGCCAAGAUAGCGCCACUGCAGUUCAGCCUGGGUGACAGAGCAAAACCCUGUCUCUAAGAUAAAUAAAAAGAACCAGACGGCCAGGCACGGUGGCUCACGCCUGUAAUCCCAGCACUUUGGGAGGCCGAGGCAGGUGGAUCACCUGAGGUCAGGUGUUUGAGACCAUGCUGGCCAACAUGGUGAAACCUCAUCUCUACUAAAAAUACAAAAACUAGCGGGGCGUGGUGGUGGGCGCCUGUAGUCCCAGCUACUUGGGAGGCUGAGGCAGGAGAAUCGCCUGAACCUGGGAGGUGGAGGUUGCAGUGAGCUGAGAUCACGCCACUGCACCCCAGCCUGGGCGACAGAGCAAGACUCUGUCUCAAAAAAAAAAAAAAAGGCUGUGCCUGGUGGUUCACGGCUGUAAUCCCAGCACUUUGAGAGGCUGAGGAGGCCAGAUCACAAGGUCAGGAGUUCGAGACCAGUCUGACCAACAUAAUGAAGCCCCGUGUCUACUAAAAAAUACAAAAAAAAUUAGCUGGGUAUGGUGGCAGGCGCCUGUAAUCCCAGCAACUCGGGAGGCCGAGGCAGGAGAAUCACAUGAACCUGGGAGGCAGAGGUUGCAGUGAGCCAAGAUUGUGCCAUUGCACUCCAGCCUGGGUGACAGUGUGAGACUCUGUCUGAAAAAAAUAAAAUAAUUAAUAAUAACCAGACUCCCGACAUCCAACAAUCUCAGGCACUUAUUAAGUACCUGCUGUGUGCCAGAAAUUUUGCUGAGAAUCCAGAGGAAGCGAUCCUAGCAGGUGGCUGGGCAACAGCCUGGGGUCCUGAGGUGGAGGCAGGAGGGGCUGGAAUCCCUGUAAACGGCCUCCCUCCAAGGAAGCCUGGCCCAGGCGCCCACCCUUCAGUCACCCUCCCCUGUUUAGCUCACACAGCUGGGUCAGUGCCAGGCAGCCCCACCCAACGUGGAGCUGUGGGGCCCUAGAACUGAGGAGCCGCCAUCAUUUCUGGCUCUGCCACCAAGAGGCUGCCCAGAGCCAGGCCCACUUAGUGCCGGGCGGCCAGGCUUCCCCCUGCUGAGCACCCGAUGCCUAAGCGCCCUGCCAGCCCAGACAGCGCUAAUGAGGCCGUCGUGCCAAUCAGAGGGGCAGGCCGCCUGGGCUCCUCCUCAGCCUGGCUGGGCGUUGGGGUGUGGAGGUGAAGCCAGUGUCUGUGCCUGGGGUGGGGGGGACCAUGGGCACAGCUGCCCCUCCGGCUUCCCCCACCGCUCACGGACCAACCGAGCUGUACCCUCAAAAUCCAACGGGAGGCCGGGCGCAGUGGCCACGCCUAUCAUCCCAGCACUUUCAGAGGCCGCGGCGGGCAGAUCACUUGAGGUCAGGAGUUCGAGACCAGCCUGGGCAACAUGGUGAAACCCCAUCUCUACUAAAAAUACAAACAUUAGCCGGGCACGGUAGCAAGUGCCUGUAAUCCCAGCUACUUGGGAGGCUGAGGCAGGAGGACUGCUUGAGCUCGAAGGUUCCAGUGAGCCAAGAUUGCGCCACUGGACUCCAGUUUGGGUGAGGAGCGAGACCCUAUUUCAAGAAAAAAGUUUUUUAAAAAGAAGAGCCAAUGGGAAAGUGAGGUGCAGGCAGCACCCUAGCUUGUAUCCCUAAACCAGAGACAGUUCCCUGGCAUCGGUGCUAGGCCUGUGUCCUCAGUCCCCUGGAAACUGUGGGAGAGUGUGUGUGGGCAUCGUCUCUGGGAAGGGGGUGAAACCCCAGACUGCGUCUCCCCAGGAUGGUGCCUGGCACGUGACCUGGUUUCGCACACAGUUGGUGCCUCAUAAAUGCGUGUGAAUCAUAGAGGCGGAUGAGGCCAGCACACAGGGAGAGGCGAGAGCAGGCCCUGGCGUCGUGGCGUACGCUGUGCCCUGGGGGGUAUUUGCAUGUGGGAGUCUCUCUGCCCCCACCCUGGCCCCUGAGCGUGGGGACAGUGGGGACAGGUCUCCUCUUUUUCCUCCCCUGUGUCUGCAGGUGCCUGGCACGGUUGCUGUCCAGGGCUUAGAGGACAGAGGAAGAGCCCCUGAGUCUGUGCACACUCUGCCACCAUGGCCCUGCCCACCUCUGGAGCCCACAGGUGCCCAGCCCAGGCCCCUUGCUUUUGGCUAGACUCCUGCCCUACGGGGACCCCCAUGAUGGCCACUCAGGAGAUGGGCCCAGGAGGACAGGGGAGUGACUCCAGGCCAUGACCGGAAGGGGCCUGUGGCCCCUGUUCCCAGUCCCCAGGGAGACGGGAGGGUCACACGCUGUUAUGAGGAAGAGGACACCGGGCUGGCCCUGGCCCAGGGUGGCCAGCUCUGGUUUCACUACUUGGCCCCAAGCCCCUGAGGCAGGUGCAGGAGCCAGGCACGGUGAGCAGGGCCCAGUGCCCCUCAGGCUCUGGGGAAGGGGUACAGCCAGGUGGCCCAGAGCAAGGAGGUGCUGUAGACAGGUGUGACCACUUCCAGUCUCUCCCGGCCUGCUGGCCUUCAUCCUCUCCCAGAUUCCAAGGGCCACCGCUGGGAGCAUGGGGUGGACAUCGUCCCACCAGCCUCCUGGAUCCACAUCCGUAAAGACUCCAAAGUGAAGUGAGGCUGGCUUCACUCCAGCUCACAGCAGAGGAGGGGGCAGCCUCAGGGCCCAGCAACUUGCUCAGAGCGCACAGGAGUGCGCUGGGGCCGGGCCAGCCUGGCCCAGGGCCUCUGACUCUGCCCCCUGCCUGCAGGGCUGCACGGCCACUGUGUUCCACCCUCCAGCGUGGGUGGCAGUCCAGUGCGUCAUUCUGGGGCCUGAGCAGUGUGGCCAGAGGCCGGUCUGGGGUGGAGGCGACCUGGGCUGCAGGUUGUGGCUGGGGUCCUUGCUAUGCUUCUGGCAGCAGGAAUCAGAGAAGCAGUAACUGGAUCCAGCUGAGGGCCUGGCGGCCACCGAGGGUACGGGCGGCGAUCAGGUUGCGGCCGAGCCGUGAGCGUUCCACUGGACGGCUUCUACAUCCGGAAGGGCUGGGCCGGGCCGGGCCGGGAGCCCACACGGGGUUGGAGGAGGGGGGCAGGAACGAGAGAGGCCAAAAGGUGCAGGGCCGUGAAGAGGGGCGCUGGGCCCACGCUAUGAGGAAAAGGGGAUCAACCCUGCCCUCCAGCCCCGUAGGCCCUCAGGCCCUCGGGCUCUGGGCUCUGUGCAAUCCGGGAGUGGCUGAAAUCCAAGCUGAGGGUAAUGAAAGGUGCUGCUCCUAAGCCGCACGUCUCUGAUCCG
rnacentral:lncRNA from 1 species